rnacentral:lncRNA from 1 species
GAUGACAAAAAAAUAUUCAUAGUGAUAAUUAAAUAAUGAUACUAUAGAAAAUACUAUCUCAGAGUCAGAUGAGAGGUGACUCCCCCUAAGAUAAAUCAUAAGGAUUCUUCAGAAGUUCUUACCAGAUUUUCUUUGUGUUUUACCUUAGUUGUUAUCCUGCAUAACUUACAGUUUUCACAAUAGUUUUAAUGUGCGUAGUGCAGCAAGAGGCUUAGGUAUAUUUUCAUCAGAGUUGUUUU